UUAAACAGCGCCUCUACUCUGGUUACUCCCCGCCACGGCUUCUUGCCUCAAUGGUUUCACCUUUAGGAUGGCAUAGUCCUUAGGGAUAUUUCUCCGUUUCCUCUUUGUUAAUAAACUUCUUAACAUAUUAUUCUUCGAAUAAUUCUACUAUAAAGUAACUAAUAUGAAUUAUUUUAUCAUAUCAUGAUUGUUGGGAAUUAUGAAAUUAGCUAUUCAUAAUUAUAAAUAGAUAUACCUGUUCCGGUAGCUUUGAUGUUUCUGAGUUUUGUUGUUCCAUAGCUUUUUCCAUUGGAGUAUAUUUAUCUAAUUAACUGAGUAAUUUUUGUGGAAUGGAGAGAGAAAGGUUUGCUUCAAAAGAAGGCUUGCUUUCCGCAAUACCCUCGACCUUUGUAUUUAUAGAAUGAAUUUACAUAUCUGCUGUGCCUAAGAAGUAAUGAAAAUUAAAGAAGUGGGGCCUAUCCCCAUCUAACUUUUCCUAAAAUUCUAAGUUACGUAAAGUUUCUCAAUUAAAACUAAGCCUAAGAAGUCAAAAAGGUAUCUAACUUACAAUUUCUAAAACUAAAGAAAAAAAAUAGUCAACAAUAGUGGCUUACAUAUACAUUUUUUCUACGUAAAAAGUCUAACAAAUUAAUUAAUGUACAGUAUCUUGUCUCCGUUGAUUUUGUCGUAUCUGCUCCAUUAUUGCUCUGUAUCUGCUCCAUUAUUGCUCUGUAUCUGCUCCAUUAUUGCUCU
rnacentral:lncRNA from 1 species